GAUGAACGCUGGCGGCGUGCUUAACACAUGCAAGUCGAACGGAAAGGCCCCCUGGUGGCUUCCCCGAGUGGCGAACGGGUGAGUAACACGUCAGUAACCUACCCUUGACUUUGGGAUAACUUCACGAAACUGGGGCUAAUACCGGAUCGGAGCUCCUGCUGCACGGUGGGGGUCGGUAAGUUACGGCGGUUGGGGAUGGUCUCGCGGCUUAUCAGCUUGUUGGUUGGGUAGUGGCUCACCAAGCCAUUGACGGGUAGCCGGCCUGAGAGGGUGACCGGCCACAUUAGGACUGAGAUACGGCGCAGACUCCAACGGGAGGCAGCAGGGGGAAAUAUUGCACAAUAAGCGGAAGCCUGAUGCAGCAACGCCGCGUGCGGGAUAACGGCCUUCGGGUUGUAAACCGCUUUCGCCUGUGACGAAGCCUGAGUGACGGUAAUGGGUAAAGAAGCACCGGCUAACUACGUG
rnacentral:rRNA from 1 species